ACUUAAAUAGUUUAAGAAAAAAAUAUUAAAUUGCAAAUUUAAAGUUACAUAAAGUUUUAAGUU
rnacentral:tRNA from 1 species